CCCCCAGUCUGCGGGGCCGCCGGGAGGGGGCGAGGCUGAGAGGAAGGGCCCGGGCAGGGCAGCGCCGGUCCCGUUCCCGUGCCCGGUCUUUAAACUUCGCAGUAUUUGGAGGGAGGCCCUGAGAAGCACCGGGUUUUACCACGCGGCUGGACCUGACCCCUACCGGCCGCUCGGUGCAAGUUGGUGUCUGCACCGGGAGCAGCUGCUGCGGGCUCGCUGGGCGAGAUCGAGCUCUAAAGAGCACAAUAGCCAACCUUAAUGCACGGGGAAUGAAAUUAACGGCUUGCAGCGAUGCAGGGAGAGGCACCAGUUUUGAGAAGAAGGCAGAAAGCCAUAAACGCGACUCGCGUCAGCAUUUCGGUUGUGUCAGAUCCAGUCACGUCCCUGCCAGCAAGAGACGUGGCAGAGAGGAGGGCAGCUGCGGAACCUGCCGGGCCUUGCCCCACUGCCCUGUGGUGGGAGGCCACAACCAGAGGCCGUGAGGUGCAGAGGUGGAAGCUCACACUGCACCGCGCAAAGCCUCGGCCCCAGGUGGGAUGUGCAACCAAAGAGAGGUUUCCAAACCCUUCAAAGUUGCCACAGCUAGGCUAG
rnacentral:lncRNA from 1 species